CACGUAGGGCGCGAACGUUGUCCGGAAUUAUUGGGCGUAAAGAGCUCGUAGGCGGCCUGUUGCGUCCGCUGUGAAAGCCCGGGGCUUAACCCCGGGUCGGCAGUGGAUACGGGCAGGCUAGAGGUAGGUAGGGGAGAAUGGAAUUCCCGGUGUAGCGGUGAAAUGCGCAGAUAUCGGGAGGAACACCGGUGGCGAAGGCGGUUCUCUGGGCCUUACCUGACGCUGAGGAGCGAAAGCGUGGGGAGCGAACAGG
rnacentral:rRNA from 1 species